ensembl:lncRNA
CGAGUUUCGAAUGAUUCGCGCAGGCUUGAAGCUGAGCGCAUGCAGAACUAAAACAUAGAAUAAACCAAAUCAAAACUUUUAUUUUAAGGCCGUUUAUGGGAGUCAGGCAGCUGUAAACUGUGAUUAGAGAAAAUUGGGCUAGUUGUCCUUGCAGGCAAUUUUCAGCAUAGUAUUUUUGGACUGAUCAUUUUGAACACCGGAAACAAAGUAGCGUCUCUUUUUGUGAAUUGUAAAUGUCAGAUGUCAGGAGAGCAUUAGCUCCGGGAAACGCUGCGAACUUAAGAGCCUCGUCUGACUGAUUAAAACAGUGGAUAGAGCCAUGAAGAUUUAUUGGAUUCUUGCACUAUUUCUAACUGGUGCUUCCUCUGUUUCUGUGGUGCUGAAUCACCCAACAUCACUUCCCUGCGGCAACUGUGAAAACGUCGUGUGGCGUAAGAUCUUCCCCAUAGAAGCAACUGUUGCCAACUGCCAAAAGCGGAAAUGCAUCAUAAAAGAAAGCUUUCGGCAAAGAUUCAACGUCAUGCAUGAAGAAAACAACUCACUAUUUCUCAAGUCAGCAAAAUACAAUGACCUGGGACAAUACGUGUGCAGUUGUGACGGCAUUGCCAAGCAUGUUAACCUGGAGGUCGUAGUUCCCAUAAACGUGACGGUUGUUGACUUGGGAAACGUCACUCUUCCGUGUUAUGCGGAUACUCAGAGCGGUGUCAGUGAUGUGACAUGGCUACAAAAUGAAAAAAAAGCUCUGUACUACACAACAAAAGGAGCCCCAAUCCCAGCCCUGGGCUAUGAGGAGAGAGUAUCGCUGACAGAGGACGGAUACAGAGACGGUGAUGUGUCUCUGACCAUCACUGGUGUCCAACAGACAGACGCAGGAUUAUACCGCUGCUUCGUUCGAGAUGAGACGGACAGAGGAUACCCACACGCCUACAUGCUGCAUGUUAUCGGUAAGACUCAUCAUAUGACUAUAUGCACUUGUUA